AAUAGUUUUAUGCCACAUCAGUACUCUUAUCCUGAAUUUCAAGAUUUUAUCCUAAAAAAAUCAAAUCCAAAUUAAAAUACUAAAAUUCAGGAUAAGAAUACUGAUGUGGCAUAAAACUAUU
rfam:Gossypium hirsutum cultivar TM-1 chromosome 12, whole genome shotgun sequence